rnacentral:rRNA from 1 species
UUCGACGCAACGCGAAGAACCUUACCAGGGCUUGACAUCCCCUGACCGCGUAUGAAAGUACGUUUUCACCCUCGGGUGACAGGGAGACAGGUGGUGCAUGGUUGUCGUCAGCUCGUGUCGUGAGAUGUUGGGUUAAGUCCCGCAACGAGCGCAACCCCUACGUUUAGUUGCUAACGCGUGAAGGCGAGCACUCUAGACGAACUGCCGUUGACAAAACGGAGGAAGUGGGAUGACGUCAAAUCAUCAUGCCCCUUAUGUUCUGGGCUACACACGUGCUACAAUGGCCGGUACAGACGGACGCAAAGCCGCGAGGUGGAGCAAAUCCUAAAAGGCCGGUCUCAGUUCGGAUUGCAGGCUGCAAUUCGCCUGCAUGAGGUCGGAAUCGCUAGUAAUCGCAGGUCAGCAUACUGCGGUGAAUACGUUCCCGGGCCUU